AAGGCAGAGUAGCACUUCUGCCUGUCCAGUGCGUUUCCCUGCGCAUAAAGCACAGUUUCUUGCACUGGACAGGCAGAAGUGCUACUCUGCCUU